UACACUCACUCAUGUAUGUAGGUUGAGUCCAAGCACAAUAGGCGAGAAGACGACGGUGACGCAGAGGAGGACGAGGACCCGCGCUCCAGCCCGACCACGACUAUGCACCGCACGGUCCCUACUUCCUGGCUAUCGCCAAUUGCCCCCUUCCCUUUACAGUACUACUCUAUUUAUUUUCAUUGCUUUUCACCCAGUUUUGCACACUUUCUGGCCCUUCCCUUUUUUGUGUGCAAAUGUUCUGAUCGCCUCCAUAUGGCUGUUUUCGUCCUCCUGCUCGUGCUGUCUCCAUCCUCCUGCUCAAGUCGUCGUCGUCGCCUCCCAUCCUUCAUGGCCUGCGUGUGUGCGCCCACUGUUGGAGGACGACGUUGAACAUGAAGCGGAGCCCAGCCGAAGCGGUCUGACGCGGUGGUCGUGGCCAAUGAGCAGUGGUCGAUGCCAUGGAGCAGGGGCCCUCGGUCGCCUGCACAUCGGCUGCGUUCUGAACUAAUGCUUUCUGCAACUGCAAUGUUCCCCUUCACAUUGUAUCUUGUGUAGGCAGAAGGAAUGCAGCUCAGUGACGGCGUCGGCUACAACUGGAUCGAUGGCCUGAAGGCUUUUACUAAGAAGAUGAAGAAUGUUGUAGAAUAGUGUCCAUCAACAAAGAGUCUUACUACUACCGGUUUGAGAGGCUCUAUCCUCAGGUGAUUGAUUACUUAAGAAGUAUACUGAAUUAUGAUAUCCAUCGAUCUAAUUUUGUAUAGGAAGUUUGAAAAACUAAAGAAUCUAUGGUACAUGAUUUGAUUUACUCAUUUAGAUUUUAGUAAAUUGUGACCGGAAGUUUUUU